AAACGCUGGAGGAUGUCACAUUUUUCAAUGUGUUGUGCAUUCUUAUUUUCCACAGUUUAUGGUAUUUUACUCAAAGCUUGAAGGCAUUUCUUCUGAAAGGGAAGUUAGACAUUUGUGUCCUGUAAGCAACUCCAAAAACGUUAUUUUUGUUGUCUUUCAGAUAUGUAUUCGGGAGAAAGCAAGAAAAUUCAACGAGAAGUUCUGGGAGUCAACAGUACUUUUGAAGGGACAGCCAGAGAAGAUGCCUCUCUUUGUCAAGGCCAUGAAGAGACCAGCAGAUUUGUUUCAAGCAUGCAUCUGCCUGGGGAGACAUGUUGCAACUCUGAAAGGUUUGUUUCCUUUGGAGAUUUUGGAGAUUCAAGCUUUGUGA
rnacentral:lncRNA from 1 species